AUUGAACGCUGGCGGCAGGCCUAACACAUGCAAGUCGAGCGAGCGGCGGACGGGUGAGUAAUGUAUGGGGACUGCCCGAUAGAGGGGGAUAACUACUGGAAACGGUGGCUAAUACCGCAUACUAUCGGAUAACCCAUAUGGGAUUGGCUAGUAGGUGGGGUAAAGGCUCACCUCGGCGACGAUCCCUAGCUGGGCUGAGAGGAUGAUCAGCCACACUGGGACUGAGAAACGGCCCAGACUCCUACGGAGGCAGCAGUGGGGAAUAUUGCACAAUGGGCGCAAGCCUGAUGCAGCCAUGCCGCGUGUAUGAAGAAGGCUUUCGGGUUGUAAAGUUCUUUCAGCGGGGAGGCGGUACCAGCAGAAGAAGCACCGGCUAACUCCGUGCCAGCAGCCGCGGUAAUAC
rnacentral:rRNA from 1 species